UAUCUCUGUAGAGUCUGCAUAUCAAUAAGCGGAGGAAAAGAAACUAACAAGGAUUCCCUUAGUAACGGCGAGUGAAGCGGGAAGAGCUCAAAUUUGAAAUCUUCAAGGUUUUACCUUGACGAAUUGUAGUUUAAAGAAGUGUUUUCUGUUGAAGUUUCGGUAAAAGUUCUUUGGAAUAGGACAUCAUAGAGGGUGAGAAUCCCGUAUUUGACCGUUAUUUUCAGCUGUGUGAUACACUUUCAAAGAGUCGGAUUGUUUGGGAAUGCAGUCCAAAAUGGGUGGUAAAUUUCAUCUAAAGCUAAAUAUUGGCGAGAGACCGAUAGCGAACAAGUACCGUGAGGGAAAGAUGAAAAGAACUUUGAAAAGAGAGUCAAACAGUACGUGAAAUUGUCAAAAGGGAAGCGUUUGACACCAGUGUUGUUUUCUCGAAAAUCAAUUAAAAAUGGCUUGAUUUUGUGUUGUAUUGACCUUAAAAGCUUUCUUCACUUUUUUCAUGUCUUUUUUAAUGCACUUUUCGUUUAACAAGUCAGCAUCAGUUUCUUUUGUUGUAAAAAGGUCAUUGGAAGGUGGCUUUCUUUUCGGAGAAAGUGUUUAUAGCCUUUGACUCCUGCAAUCGGAGAGACUGAGGUCUGCAGCGUAGAUCCUUAUGGAUUAGAUUCAUUUGUGCUAAGUUAUAGCUCUUUAUAGACAACAUGUUGACUAUAUUUAGUCUUGUAACUUACUCGCUUAUGUAAUUUUACCUACGCUUAGGAUGUUGAACGCGCACAGAGUCUC
rnacentral:rRNA from 1 species